AUGUUAUUAAGCUUGAUGAAAGAUAACCUAAUUUUUCAAUGUACGUGAAGAUGUUAUUCAACGCAACUAAGAUCUUUGUGACAUUAUAAGUAGCUGAUUCUAACUUUAGGAAUCAAGAAGCAGAUGAAAAGCUGUACAUUAAAAGCUUAAAAGAACCACUAAAGGAACAUCUUAAGAAGAAGAUAGAACACGCACGCACAAUUGCAAAAGGAAUUAGACAUCGGUAUCACGUGACGAAGAAUGGGACAUCAGCUGAGAAAGCAGAAGCAUAUUUAAGAACUGUAGAAGCUGUAAGGUGGCAUCGUCACAAUCGUACUGAUUUGUGUCAACUCUUACAUGGAUUCCAUCACUUGCACAUACCACAUAAAAAAUGUCAUCCUGAAACAGGAGAUAAAGCAUGUACAGGAGUAGCAGCAGGAAUAAGAAGUGUCUGGGGAGUGAAAACUUACAAGAUAUAUCACUUGU